rnacentral:lncRNA from 1 species
AGGCACUGUACCUCCAUUUAAGCAAAACCAGUCUGCGGUCUGUCUGUUGCUGUUUGCCUCCAUUGCCCAGGGACUUCAUGGUAUCCAAUUCUACCAUUUGAAAAUGGUAAGAGCAGGAUAUGCCUUGAAGCGAAGGAAUUCAGAACUUCAACCAAUGAAACAGUGUUGCCUUUAUUCUUACCUCAGCCCUCACCUGUAGCUCUGGAGUUGUAGCUAAGAACUUGGGACAAACCUUACCACCAGGAGUGCAAGAUGCUGGAGUAUUUGAGCAGUCAACAAGAUAAAG